rnacentral:rRNA from 1 species
UACGUAGGGUGCGAGCGUUGUCCGGAAUUAUUGGGCGUAAAGAGCUUGUAGGCGGUUUGUCGCGUCUGCCGUGAAAUUUCGGGGCUCAACCCCGAACUUGCGGUGGGUACGGGCAGACUAGAGUGUGGUAGGGGAGACUGGAAUUCCUGGUGUAGCGGUGAAAUGCGCUGAUAUCAGGAGGAACACCGAUGGCGAAGGCAGGUCUCUGGGCCACUACUGACGCUGAGAAGCGAAAGCAUGGGGAGCGAACAGG